GACGAACGCUGGCGGCGUGCUUAACACGUGCAAGUCGAACGGAAAGGCCCUGCUUUUGUGGGGUGCUCGAGUGGCGAACGGGUGAGUAACACGUGAGUAACCUGCCCUUGACUUUGGGAUAACUUCAGGAAACUGGGGCUAAUACCGGAUAGGAGCUCCUGCUGCAUGGUGGGGGUUGGAAAGUUUCGGCGGUUGGGGAUGGACUCGCGGCUUAUCAGCUUGUUGGUGGGGUAGUGGCUUUCCAAGGCUUUGACGGGUAGCCGGCCUGAGAGGGUGACCGGCCACAUUGGGACUGAGAUACGGCCCAGACUCCUACGGGAGGCAGCAGUGGGGAAUAUUGCACAAUGGGCGGAAGCCUGAUGCAGCAACGCCGCGUGCGGGAUGACGGCCUUCGGGUUGUAAACCGCUUUCGCCUGUGACGAAGCGUGAGUGACGGUAAUGGGUAAAGAAGCACCGGCUAACUACGUG
rnacentral:rRNA from 1 species